GUUAGAGGCAAAAGGGACAGAAGUCUGAGAACUGAAGAGUACGUGAAAGAGAGAAGAGCCAAAGGAGAAGAAGACCUUCGAAGAUUCGACUCUGAGAUUGAAGUAGCGGUUUAAGCGAUCGGUGAGGAUGACUCGUAGAGUUUAUCCGGUUAUGUGGAGUCGUGUCGGUCAUGCUCUGAUCUUGUAACACUGGGGGUCGAUAGUCUUAGAGUUACUUGAUAUACGUUGUUGCCAUUAUUGGCUAUGGAUUAUGUAUUGUUGAUUUGUUUGGAUAGGUUUCUUAACGUUGUUAAAAUGAGUUUCUGCUGUGCUAAACACAUGUUUUGAUAUUUGGUUUAAUUCUAAUAAAGCAUGACAAACGACUUGGAGUUUUAUUUAUUUUAUUAAUUGUAACAUCCUUGUUGUAUGAUUACUCUGAUUAUUUUAUUUUUCGCGGGGGUUUUUAGAAGGGUGUUACAAUAGUGGUAUCAGAGCAGGUCGGUCCGUCCGGCCAAUUGUAGAGUCAGUUGAGUUGCACGACAUUUGAAUACUGUCGGCAUAUUAUCCCUUGGUAUGCGACAUGUGAGUGAAUCACUGUCGGUACUUGGUUGUUUGUUGCGGAAGUUGGUUUGAAACAAGUGGGGGGAAGCUUCGCUUCUCGGUUAUGUUUCAGUUGUAAGACGAGUGAUUCAGUAGGCUGUUGUUGGCAACCGUGCAAGCGUUGUUGGAGUUGUUGUUUCCCGAAUCGAAGGUGACUUGGAAUUAAGACUUGACUGGUAAUUAAGUUGGAGCAUCUUGAAGGAGGAUGAUUAGAUGUAAUUGACGAUUAUUUGUAGGAGAGGAAAUUAGGAAGUUGCAAUGUAUCAACUCUGCUGAUGGACUGGGAAGUUGUCAGUUGAGUAGCCUUGCAUCUCGGAAGAGGUUCAGCUGCAAGUUUGCCAAGAGGAUUGCUGUCGUAAUGUUUCAGAAAUCGCACUUCGGUGAUGGGAUGUGUUGCUCAAGUUAUAAGAAUGUUUGGGAGUGAAGAGAUAUGAUAAGGAGCUGUUUGGAAUGUGAUUGAGUUGAAGAGAAUGAGUUUUGGAGAGAGAUUUUCGUAAGCAAAACGUAGGAAAAUUGCUGAAUAGCUGCAGAACUUCGAAAAUUUAUAACUGGAGUUCUGGACAUCCGAUUUGAGUUCCGUUUGAAGCGUCGGAAAGCUAAAGAGAUGAACUUUGUUAUAAAAAUGGUUGCAGCAGCUGUAACAUAUUUAAUUGUGACAGGAUGAUGUUGGAAAUAGGUGAAGUUGCGGUUACGCGUGCUCUUAGAACUAAACUUGUUUGUUGGUACUGCACGGGAUAUUAGUAUCAGAAUUGAGCGGAUUGAAGGAAUAAUUAAAAGGUUUGUUGAGAAGAAAUUUUAGGAAUUAAUUGUACCAAUGGAGGAGUUUUGGAUAUAUCGUAUAUAGUGUCGCUGCAUGAUGUCGGUGUUGCAUUUUCGGACAACGAUUGGAAAAUUCAUAUCUUGAGAUCCGAGUGUCUGAUUUAAGUGCCGUUUGGGGCAUUGCGAAGCUGAUUUAAUAACCAUGAUAUAUGUUGUUAUUUGAUGUUUAAAACUUGUUUGAAAUGCGUUACAAUGCAUAAUUUGGUGAUGUUUGUGUGUAAUAUUCGCUUGGGGACGAAUUAGUGGAUGGAGAAAAGUGCUUUUGCUGUCAAAACUAUGAAUUUUGCUGUGCAGGUACGUAGGAACCGGUUCCUGUGUGGGAGGAACCGGGUUCUCAUUACAAAAACAGAGGCGUGGGAAUUCUGGGUUACUGGGAACCGGUUCCCAGAUAGAGACAACUCGGUUCCCCAUAGUAAAAAUGAGAGACAAGUUGUGGGAAGCAGCCAGGAACCGGUUCCUGUGUGGGAGGAACCGGGUUCUACUGUGUCUUUUUGGAAAAUUGUUUUUACUUUAAAAACCCAUAACUUUUGAUCCUAUGAGGAGAUAUUCUAAAGUCGGUUAAGGAAGCGCAAAACUUGUUGAAUAAGAAUGCCUACUACCGUGAUUGUUUGAAACAAAAUUGAGUAGAAUAUGUUGUUGAGGAAUAAGUUGAUGAGAUGUUCGGUAAUAAAGAUGAUUUGAGUGCCGAUGGAUUUUAGUGAGGAGUGAAUUAGUAGUAAAGGUGAAAUAAGUUUUAGUACGGUUGAAGUCGUAUUUAUGAUGCCAAAGCAACGACAUGUAUAGAAGAAGAAUUGUAGAGGAUUUCUUACACCUAUUGGUGUGAGGAAGACUUUGUUGAGAUUCCGAGUGGAAUGAUACCUGGACGCAAAAGAUGUCAUGGGAUUUAGAGUGAAACCAGGAGUAUGAAUGUUGUUGCGGUCUUUUGCUAAGAUGAGGAUUUUGAUUUGGAACAGAUAAAUAGUAAGGUACGAGUAUAUUAGUGAUUAUGAAGUUGGAAGUACUUAACAGGUGUGUGAUGCUAAGUGACCAUGAAGCAGAUUAUGUAAAAUGUUUGGAUGUUGGUAUCCCGCUGACAAGAUCCAAUGAGAGGGAAGUGUGCGAGUUGUAAAGACUUAGAGUGAACUAUUGGACUAUGACGAUGUUAAUGAGUUUGAGUGCGAACUCGGAGAAAAGACACUAUUAUGUAGUAACGACGGUUUAUGCUUAAAUGUGAUUGUCGACUAUCUAUUGACAAAUUGAGGACUUGAUCACCCUUAAUAUCUUGUUGAUAGUAGACGGAAUCAUAUAGAUAGGAUGAGCUUGUUUGUUACCUUAAUGGUUUAGGAUAUGAUGGAUACUAAGCCGUGAGAAUAAUCACUCACCAUGUUGUGUGAUUUUAUGAAGAAGUGAAUAUGAAAGAGUGCAAUAUAUUGAAUGAUGAUUUAAGACGGCUAAUCAGAAUCGCGCAGCGAAAGUGUGAUGUGGAGUAGUGUUAUGAGUAUUACUCGUGGGCAGUGAGGAAUUAAUAUGUCAGGAGCCUACAUAGAGGAUGUGUAUUGAUCUAUAUGUUGGAUUUAUAAUCUAGUGGAUGAAACAAUGUCAUUUCGGAGAAUUAGUACUCUUUUGAAUAAUUGCCGAAAUGAUGAGUAUGUUACUGCGGAUGUAGUUAGUUAACGAGUAUGUAUUCAGCGAAGUUAAGGCGAUGAGUGUAUACUAUAUGAUGCUAUAAUAAUUUUGUAAUAUUGUAAAGUGUUAUUGUAGAUUUCCAGAUAUAAUGAGGAAUUAUACUCUAUGAAGGACGAAGUUGAUUUAAUUCUUAGAGAAGAGGGAGACUCAGUUUGAGCUAUUCUGUAAGCAAUGGUAUAUUAAGGAUGAUGAGUGUGAUUAUAAUUACUAGUGUGUACUCAUUCUGAUGGUUAGAAUGUUUAAAUAGAGGAAGUAAAUCAGGACUUUAUUUUUGAGUGCGAGGAAGUGUUGCUAAAUGGUAGAUUAGUACCAUGUAUGAAAAAGAAGGAUUUUGGAACGAAUGAGUAAAGAGAGUCGGAAUUGGGUAAGACUGAGAAAUCUAAUUGGUAAUGACGAUUGUAAUGAUUAAUCAAAAUAGUGCCGCAAAAGCGGAAUAUAACGUGUUGGAUAAUUUCUGGUAUGACUUGAGAGGAGUCAGAUAGUUGAAAUUCAAUGGUAUAGGAAUGUUAUUAUCGAGUUUCUUGAAGGAAGCAGUUGGUGAAGAGUGUAAGUAUUAUUUCAUCGCUCAUAUGGAAAGGUGUGUCUAAGGUUGGUACGUUUGGUAGAUGGAAUGCCUUACUGCAGUGUUAAUCGGGGUGGUCAUACCCUGGUUGUGUAAUUAUAUUAUUCAGUGAUUGAGCGUAUUGUAUGGGUUGUACCUCAAUGUUCUAUCGUUGUUAACCUUUUGGAGAUAUAGCGAGUGGUAUACUUUUGAAUGGUCAAAUGCGACGUAAGAGCUGAGAUGGAAUGCAUGAGGCAUGCUUAUGUUGGUUAUGUCAGAUGAAUUUGGAGGUUCGACUAAGAAAGUGUUAACUGAGAACAGGAGAGUCAGAUGAAGGAUUCCUAUUUGGAACUUUUCACUAGAAGUAUGUUUUCGAGGACGAAAACUCUUUUAGUGGGGGAGAGUUGUAACACCCCAUAUUUUCUAAUUUUAAUUUAAUUGGAAAUUAAAUUAGAAUUAUUUUGGUAUUUGGUUGAAUUAUUGUAGAAUUAUGGAUUAAGGGCCAUUGGGCCGGAUGGUGAGGUUAGUAGUAUGGGGGUGCGAAGUGAGUAAGCCCAUUACUAACUAUUUUAUGUUUUCAUAAAAUAAAGGAAAUUGGGAAAAGAGAAGGUUAGAGGCAAAAGGGACAGAACUCUGAGAACUGAAGAGUACGUGAAAGAGAGAAGAGCCAAAGGAGAAGAAGACCUUCGAAGAUUCGACUCUGAGAUUGAAGUAGCGGUUUAAGCGAUCGGUGAGGAUGACUCGUAGAGUUUAUCCGGUUAUGUGGAGUCGUGUCGGUCAUGCUCUGAUCUUGUAACACUGGGGGUCGAUAGUCUUAGAGUUACUUGAUAUACGUUGUUGCCAUUAUUGGCUAUGGAUUAUGUAUUGUUGAUUUGUUUGGAUAGGUUUCUUAACGUUGUUAAAAUGAGUUUCUGCUGUGCUAAACACAUGUUUUGAUAUUUGGUUUAAUUCUAAUAAAGCAUGACAAACGACUUGGAGUUUUAUUUAUUUUAUUAAUUGUAACAUCCUUGUUGUAUAAUUACUCUGAUUAUUUUAUUUUUCGCGGGGGUUUUUAGAAGGGUGUUACAAUAGUGGUAUCAGAGCAGGUCGGUCCGUCCGGCCAAUUGUAGAGUCAGUUGAGUUGCACGACAUUUGAAUACUGUCGGCAUAUUAUCCCUUGGUAUGCGACAUGUGAGUGAAUCACUGUCGGUACUUGGUUGUUUGUUGCGGAAGUUGGUUUGAAACAAGUGGGGGGAAGCUUCGCUUCUCGGUUAUGUUUCAGUUGUAAGACGAGUGAUUCAGUAGGCUGUUGUUGGCAACCGUGCAAGCGUUGUUGGAGUUGUUGUUUCCCGAAUCGAAGGUGACUUGGAAUUAAGACUUGACUGGUAAUUAAGUUGGAGCAUCUUGAAGGAGGAUGAUUAGAUGUAAUUGACGAUUAUUUGUAGGAGACGAAAUUAGGAAGUUGCAAUGUAUCAACUCUGCUGAUGGACUGCGAAGUUGUCAGUUGAGUAGCCUUGCAUCUCGGAAGAGGUUCAGCUGCAAGUUUGCCAAGAGGAUUGCUGUCGUAAUGUUUCAGAAAUCGCACUUCGGUGAUGGGAUGUGUUGCUCAAGUUAUAAGAAUGUUUGGGAGUGAAGAGAUAUG